rnacentral:rRNA from 1 species
AAUGAACGCUGGCGGCGUGCUUAACACAUGCAAGUCGUACGAGAAACCCCGGCUUGCCGGGGGAGUGAAGUGGCGCACGGGUGAGUAACGCGUGGGUAAUCUACCCUCGAAUUGGGGAUAACACACCGAAAGGUGUGCUAAUACCGAAUAAGACCACGACCUCCACGGGGGUUGCGGUCAAAGAUGGCCUCUGCUUGCAAGCUGUCGUUUGAGGAUGAGCCCGCGUACCAUUAGCUUGUUGGUGGGGUAAUGGCCUACCAAGGCAACGAUGGUUAGCUGGUCUGAGAGGAUGGCCAGCCACACUGGAACUGGAACACGGUCCAGCCUCCUACGGGAGGCAGCAGUGAGGCAUUUUGCGCAAUGGGGGAAACCCUGACGCAGCAACGCCGCGUGAGUGAAGAAGGCCUUCGGGUUGUAAAGCUCUGUCAAGUGGGAAGAACCUUUUUCGGCCGAAUACGCCGAGAAACUGACGGUACCGCUGAAGGAAGCACCGGCUAACUCCGUGCCAGCCGCCGCAGUAA